rnacentral:rRNA from 1 species
AGUGGGGAAUCUUAGACAAUGGGGGAAACCCUGAUCUAGCCAUGCCGCGUGAGCGAUGAAGGCCUUAGGGUUGUAAAGCUCUUUCAGCUGGGAAGAUAAUGACGGUACCAGCAGAAGAAGCCCCGGCUAACUCCGUGCCAGCAGCCGCGGUAAUACGGAGGGGGCUAGCGUUGUUCGGAAUUACUGGGCGUAAAGCGCGCGUAGGCGGGCUGUUAAGUCGGGGGUGAAAUCCCGGGGCUCAACCCCGGAACUGCCUUCGAUACUGGCAGCCUAGAGGUCGAGAGAGGUGAGUGGAAUCCCGAGCGUAGAGGUGAAAUUCGUAGAUAUUCGGAGGAACACCAGUGGCGAAGGCGGCUCACUGGCUCGAUACUGACGCUGAGGUGCGAAAGUGUGGGGAGCAAACAGGAUUAGAUACCCUGGUAGUCCACACCGUAAACGAUGAAUGCCAGACGUCGGGCAGCAUGCUGUUCGGUGUCACACCUAACGGAUUAAGCAUUCCGCCUGGGGAGUACGGCCGCAAGGUUA